rnacentral:rRNA from 1 species
UCGACGGGAGGAAAGAGAAGCUUGCUUCUUUUUGAAUCUAGUGGCAAACGGGUGGGUAACACGUAAACAACCUGCCUUCAGGAUGGGGACAACAGACGGAAACGACUGCUAAUACCGAAUGUGUUCCGGAGACCGCAUGAUUUCCGGAAGAAAGGAUGGCCUCUAUUUAUAAGCUAUCGCCUGAAGAGGGGUUUGCGUCUGAUUAGGCAGUUGGUGAGGUAACGGCCCACCAAACCUACGAUCAGUAGCCGGUCUGAGAGGAUGAACGGCCACACUGGAACUGAGACACGGUCCAGACUCCUACGGGAGGCAGCAGUGGGGAAUCUUCCGCAAUGGACGAAAGUCUGACGGAGCAACGCCGCGUGAGUGAUGACGGCCUUCGGGUUGUAAAGCUCUGUGAUCGGGGACGAAUGGCUGGUAUGCUAAUACCAUAUCAGAGUGACGGUACCCGAAUAGCAAGCCACGGCUAACUACGUGCCAGCAGCCGCGGUAAUACGUAGGUGGCAAGCGUUGUCCGGAAUUAUUGGGCGUAAAGCGCGCGCAGGCGGCUUCUUAAGUCCAUCUUAAAAGUGCGGGGCUUAACCCCGUGAUGGGAUGGAAACUGGGAGGCUGGAGUAUCGGAGAGGAAAGUGGAAUUCCUAGUGUAGCGGUGAAAUGCGUAGAGAUUAG